AUUCUUACCUGGCAGAGGAGAUAACUAUGAUCAAAUAGUGGUUUUAUGAGGGCGAGGCUUGUCUUUUGCACUCAGAACGUGCUGACCCCUGAGAGUCCCACCCAUGAGAAACUCAAUUGGAAAAUUUGUGCUCGUGGGGUAACAUA
rnacentral:snRNA from 1 species